rnacentral:rRNA from 1 species
AUUGAACGCUGGCGGCAUGCCUUACACAUGCAAGUCGAACGGUAACGGGCCUUCGGGUGCCGACGCGUGGCGAACGGGUGAGUAAUACAUCGGAACGUGCCCGAUCGUGGGGGAUAACGAGGCGAAAGCUUUGCUAAUACCGCACACGAUCUACGGAUGAAAGCAGGGGACCGGAAGGCCUUGCGCGGGCGGAGCGGCCGAUGGCCGAUUAGGUAGUUGGUGGGAUAAAAGCUUACCAAGCCGACGAUCUGUAGCUGGUCUGGGAGGAUGAUCGGCCACACUGGGACUGAGACACGGCCCAGACUCCUACGGGAGGCAGCAGUGGGGAAUUUUGGACAAUGGGCGCAAGCCUGAUCCAGCCAUGCCGCGUGCAGGAUGAAGGCCUUCGGGUUGUAAACUGCUUUUUUACGGAACGAAAAGCCUUCUUUUAAUACAGGAGGGUCAUGACGGUACCGUAAGAAUAAGCACCGGCUAACUACGUG